rnacentral:tmRNA from 3 species
GGGGGUGAUGAGCUUCGACGAAGUACUUUACAAAGAGAUUGCAAGCAGAGCUCGGAGAACUCUUUAAAAGCUCCGAAACUGAUACGUGCUACAUCACAGUAUCGACAGCCAGCUUUAGCUUACGCUUAACUGGCCAUCGGCUCGCGUAUGCCUCUUUGCGAAUACCGGUGUUAUAUUGAGGCUUACUCUUUCGCCUUGACGUAGCGACAGAGGACCAUGCACGUCAUAAGGUUAGAAGUUUUUUGUCUGAUUUGAGCUUCUACCCUUUCAUUUAAUCAGACUACGCUUGUAGAUGUUUCUUUGUUUUUAUUUCGGACGGGAGUGCGAUUCUCCCCACCUCCACCA